UCCCCAGAGGGGAGAGGGCUGAGAGAGAGCCUCAGGCUUCCUGACUCUACACUGCACUCUCAGGUAUUCCGUGUGCUGCUUACUGCUUACUGCUUACAGAAAGAUGGAUCCGGUGCCCUGAAAUCUGACCAAGGCUAAGAGGGCAGACCACUGGCAGUGUGGACAAAACCCUAACCUCCUCCUACCUGGCCCGGCGCCACCCAGGGGGACUCAGCCAGUUCCUGAGCCCACAGGGAUGCACAAGGCCAUUGCCAGGGUCGUCCUCACUGUGGUCCAGCCCCUGGCCAUAGUCCAGGGCACUGUCCUGGGGGACAUCACCCUCCAGGUGGCCCACGCCCUGGUCAUGGCCCAGGGCACUGUCCUGGGGGAAACCACCCUCCAAGGGGCCCAGGGCACUGUCCUGGGGCAAGCCACCCUCCAGGGCCUGGUGGCCCACCCCCUGGCCAUGGCCCAGGGCACUGUGGGAAUCAUCAUGGUCCACAUCACUGAGAAAUCAGAAGAAAAGAAGAUACAGAUGAAAAGUUUGCAUAGAAUCCCCUGCUGGCUUGGCACGGGGUCUAAACCAGACUUGCCCCUUGCAAAUAAAUAGCCUCCUGGAGGCCAUAUUUGUUCUCCUCA